UGUGCAUCUUAAUAAGCCUUCUCGGCCUCGUUUCAGUUAAAAAAUUCUUUGCAAUUUUAGUCAUAGAAACGAGGCCGAGAAGGCUUAUUAAGAUGCACACAU